UGGGGAAUAUUGGACAAUGGGGGGAACCCUGAUCCAGCCAUGCCGCGUGUGUGAAGAAGGCCUUAUGGUUGUAAAGCACUUUAAGCGAGGAGGAGGGUACUGGUAUUAAUACUACCAGGUACUGGACGUUACUCGCAGAAUAAGCAGCGGCUAACUCUGUGCCAGCAGCAGCGGUAAUACAGAGGGUGCGAGCGUUAAUCGGAUUUACUGGGCGUAAAGCGUGCGUAGGCGGCUAAUUGAGUCGGAUGUGAAAUCCCCGAGCUUAACUUGGGAAUUGCAUUCGAUACUGGUUAGCUAGAGUGUGGGAGAGGAUGGUAGAAUUCCAGGUGUAGCGGUGAAAUGCGUAGAGAUCUGGAGGAAUACCGAUGGCGAAGGCAGCCAUCUGGCCUAACACUGACGCUGAGGUACGAAAGCAUGGGGAGCAAACAGG
rnacentral:rRNA from 1 species